AAGGCUUCUGGCCAAGAGACAUCUGGAGUGAACCUCACUCACCUGAGAAGCUGCUGGGCCUUCAAGCAGAUGUUUAUUUUGUUGGAUCAUCUUCCUUCCACUCUGACUGAAUAUUGGUGGUCUGACCAAUAGUCUGCCAAAUCUAAUAUCCUGUCGUGUGUCAUUGAACAAUCCCAUUGUCCACUCCCAGCAUCUGUCAAUCAAAGGACGGUUUAGGGACAUGCAGAGCAUGGGCCUGCAUCCCUGAUUAUCUUGGCUAAUAGCCAAUGUACUUAUCCUGAGGGACUGAUCUAAUUUUUGUUCAACCCAUUCAUAGUUUUGCCUUUCAAAAUAUAAUGAACACACAUCUACAACCCCAAGAUACCUUUACAACCCCAAGAAUUCCAAAAUCAUGAGUUAUACACCCUCGAGUCAAGAAAUUUUAAUAAAUAAAUGAUAUAUUUUUUUAUGUGCUUCUUUGUUCCUGACCCUGUAGGGUGCAGUAAGGCUGCCAGUUCCAAUGCCUUGAGCUUAAACACCUGAAUGAAUCUUAGUCUACCCUCAUACUCCCAAACAUUUCAUAUACCUAAGGCCAUAUCUACACUUUAAGUGUCGGUUAACUCAAGUUAUGUCACCAUAGAGUCACUACGGUUACUAUGUCACUUGUGUGCAUGCCUCCUGGAUUCCUUAUCUCAGCAGUCAGGGUACUCACAAGAAGCACUUGUAUCGAUUCAGAGUGAGGUGCACCAUGAAUAGAUAUCUCACUGUCCACCCACUGUAUUUUGGGAAGCUAUGGUUUGGCAGUGCAUGCUGGGUACCGAACAGGUCAGACAGGGGUGGUUGUGGCCAUGGGAUCCAACUUCUUAUAAUGCAUUGUUAUCCAUCCACUAAUGUUAUAUGUAUCCCAUACAUAAAUGUAUACAUGUUUUCACCUUUUUUUCUAAACUCACAAACCUGCCUAGCCCUCCUCACUGUCUGCCAUCUCACACAGAAUCAUGGAGCUUGCAUGGCUCUGCACUAUUGUCAUGAGUGUUUCCACCCAAAGGUGCAUGCUUCUUUACUAUUUGCAGAUCAGCAAACAUACAUGUACAUAUACUCUACAUUCUUUAUGAAAAUAUGCUUAUGAUGUGGAUAUGACAUAGCUAAUAUAUACUUUAUGCAAGAUGGCUGAUGUGGGGUAUCACUGCAAAACUUAAGACAUUGACUGUAUUUAUCCAAUCUGUAUGGAUGUAAUGUUUGUAUCUGAGGCUAGAAAUAUUGGCCGUUACUAUGUAUUUCAAAUGUGCUCUGUUUGAUGAGGCCAGACAAUGUUAGUGGCUUAUUGAAGGAAUGCACAAACACAUAAAGAUUACCCCAGGAACUGUGCCUCUGAACGAUAGUGCUAUACAGUGGGGACUACUUGAUCAAGAUCAGAUACUUCUACACAGUGGUUGCCAUUUGACCCAGGUCACAGCAAAAGAGCCUUCCAGAAAGUGGGGGGAAGAAAGAAAAGGUGGACAGUGACAGCCUACAAGAACUGGAAACACCUGAGGUACAAAGACUGAACAGUGAGACGUGAUUGUCCCAGCAAUCUGGAUGAUGGGAAGACAGACGCUUCAGCUCAGCUCAGCAUACUGAGAAUAAGAAGGAUCUGACAUUACCAACCACGGUAGAAUAAUCCAUGUGUGUAUAAUAUAUCUUUUGUCCCCAUCAAGCAGACAUAGGCCUUUUUCUCACUUUAAUAAAACUAAUGAAAACAGUUUAACACUGAAGACAAAGGCUAAAGAAGAUAUCUCAAAAAUUAAAUGAGAGAGCAAUGAGGUUACGUGAGUACCAUAGUUCUGUGGUGAUACCUCUUUGCUCCUUAUGUGUAUAAGAGUGACAAAAGUGGAAGUCUGUAUAAAGCACAAUGGUAGAUUUUCUGCCUAUGAGCUUGCUUUCCAAAGGAAUUAAGUAUUUCACAUACUAUUUAAAAUGUUUUUAACUACUCUCCAUGUUUUGUGUGCAUUCAAUUUUUUUUUAUUAAUAGACGGUAUGACGUACCAUUCACUG